UUCCUUCCUAUCAAGCCAUGGACUAAUGAUCAAGGAGUGGGACCAUUUAUCAGACCUGUCCAGUCUAUGAAUUCCACCCCAAGGGCCACAGUUGUGCACGGGCAUUGAGCCAAUCCCUGGACUUCUGCUGGCACGUGGGAGGAAGGACUCUCUCUUUCCAUGAGGAUUGCUGAGAGGAAGCCUAGGGCUGCCAGCAAUCAUCCUGCCACCGCAUGGGAGGUGCACACCUGAAUGAAGGCAACAGCCGCAGAGAGCAAAGCCCACAUGGAGGAGCCAGGACAGGAUGGAGACAACAAGGCUUGAGCCCCUAGAUCCGGGCAUGCCUGGCCUUUUAGUUGCUCGUCUGAUCUCUAUUGGAUACUUCCCUCUGGAGGAAGCCAACUGCUUUGCUGGAAGCAGCCCUGGGGAGAUGCCAUGGAGUAAGAAACUGAAGCUUCCAACCAACAGCUGUCAGGGAACUGAAGUCUCUUUCCAAGAGCCAUAUGAAUUAGCUUAGACAUGGAUCUUCCAUCCUAGCCAGCCCUUGGAAGACCAGCCCCCAGCCUACAUCCUGAAUGCAACCUCACUAGAGACCCUG
rnacentral:lncRNA from 1 species